rnacentral:rRNA from 1 species
GGCCAGGUCGGGCCAAGGAGGGGGGGGAGGACGGAAGGGGCAGGCGUGGUGCGGAAUCACUGGGCGUAAAGGGUGCGUAGGCGGCGUGGUGGGUCUGGUGUGAAAGCCCCGGGCUCAGCCCGGGAAGGGCGCUAGAAACUGCCGAGCGCGAGUGCCGGAGGGGAGAGUGGAAUUCCUGGUGUAGCGGUGAAAUGCGUAGAUAUCAGGAGGAAUACCGGUGGCGAAAGCGACUCUCUGGACGGCAACUGACGCUGAGGCACGAAAGCGUGGGGAGCAAACAGGAUUAGAUACCCCAGUAGC